rnacentral:rRNA from 1 species
AACGAACGCUGGCGGCAUGCCUAACACAUGCAAGUCGAACGAAGGCUUCGGCCUUAGUGGCGCACGGGUGCGUAACGCGUGGGAAUCUGCCCUUAGGUUCGGAAUAACAGUUAGAAAUGACUGCUAAUACCGGAUGAUGACGUAAGUCCAAAGAUUUAUCGCCUGAGGAUGAGCCCGCGUAGGAUUAGCUAGUUGGUGUGGUAAAGGCGCACCAAGGCGACGAUCCUUAGCUGGUCUGAGAGGAUGAUCAGCCACACUGGGACUGAGACAAGGCCCAGACUCCUACGGGAGGCAGCAGUGGGGAAUAUUGGACAAUGGGCGCAAGACUGAUCCAGCAAUGCCGCGUGAGUGAUGAAGGCCUUAGGGUUGUAAAGCUCUUUUACCCGUGAUGAUAAUGACAGUAGCGGGAGAAUAAGCCCCGGCUAACUCCGUG